GGCGCACGGGUGAGUAACACGUGGCUAACCUGCCCCCGGAUCUGGGAUAACCCUUCGAAAGGAGGGCUAAUACCGGAUAACACGAAGAGCCUCAGGGUUCAUCGUUGAAAGUUCCGGCGUCCGGGGGGGGGCCGCGUCCCAUCAGCUAGAUGGUGAGGUAACGGCUCACCAUGGCAACGACGGGUAGCGGGUCUGAGAGGAUGAUCCGCCACACUGGCACUGAGACACGGGCCAGACUCCUACGGGAGGCAGCAGUGGGGAAUCUUGCGCAAUGGGGGAAACCCUGACGCAGCAAUGCCGCGUGGGCGAAGAAGGACCUCGGUUCGUAAAGCCCUUUUAUCGGGGAAGAUGAUGACGGUACCCGAAGAAUCAGCACCGGCUAACUACGUGCCAGCAGCCGCGGUAAUACGUAGGGUGCAAGCGUUGUCCGGAAUCACUGGGCGUAAAGGGCGCGCAGGCGGAUUGGCAAGCGAGGGGUGAAAUCCCGGGGCUCAACCCCGGAACGGCUCCUUGAACUGCCAGUCUUGAGAGGGUCAGGGGCCAGCGGAAUUCCAGGUGGAGAGGUGAAAUUCGUAGAGAUCUGGAGGAACGUCGGCGGCGAAAGCGGCUGGCUGGGACCCAUCUGACGCUGAGGCGCGAAAGCGUGGGGAGCAAACAGGAUUAGAUACCCUGGUAGUCCACGCCGUAAACGAUGGGCACUGAAUGUCCGGGGGGUUCGGCCCCCCUGGGCGUUGCAGCUAACGCGUUAAGUGCCCC
rnacentral:rRNA from 1 species